UACGGAGGGGCUAGCGUUGUUCGGAAUUACUGGGCGUAAAGCGCACGUAGGCGGCUUGUAAGUUAGAGGUGAAAGCCCAGGGCUUAACCCCUGGAAUUGCCUUUAAGACGUGCAUCGCUAGAAGUCGUGGAGAGGUGAGUGGAAUUCCGAAGUGUAGAGGUGAAAUUCGUAGAUAUCGGAAGGAAGCACCAGUGGCGAAGGCGACUCACUGGAC
rnacentral:rRNA from 1 species